GUCCAUGUUAGUGCACACAAAGUAAACGGCACGCUUUAGUUGUGAAGCAAAAACGUUGAACCCGGAGAAAUAAAAUGUGCAAGGGGAACGAUAACGACGACAAGAGUCUCCCGAUCGUUUACUCUUCCUGUCCCGUGAACAACACCGGCGUGGUAUUAAUUGUUUGCUGUUUUCGCGAUCGCGUCGCGCAUGAGAAUAUCACCAGGCUCGGGACCAGCACUCCUGCUGUUGGACAGAAAGACAUCAACUUGAGAUAUGACUGCACUAUGCUGUUGCUGGUGACCACAGUUAAUUCUACAAGACAUGCUGUGACACCAGGAGAGAUGAGUCCUCCGUCACAGAUGGUGUGGUCAGUGAAGAUGGUCGCCUGCAGGUUCAAGUUCAUUGCAUCUCCAACCCACAUCCACUGCCACUGUACUUAAGGGAAGUUAAAGACUUUCUUCUGCACCUACAUUUGGAUCACCUCGAUCCAUGACAGUCAUUCAGGCAGUAAUGCCUGGACUGGAAACAAGCAUCCUUAAAAUAAUACAACAUUCCAGCUCCUGUGUUGGAAUGGAAAACAAAUGUGUUGUUUAAAUUAGAGACUGCACUUGUGACAGAACAACAAAUAUUUUAUUCUGAUUAUAUAAGUAAUGUAAGUACAAAACAAACUUGUGGUAGGCCUAAACUUAUUUUCAGAAUAAUUACAUCUGAGACUUUGUUUCAUUGUAAGAUUAUAACAGUGAUGGCAAUAUAAUUGUUUGUUGUUCAGCAGAACAGUGUCCAGUAUGUUGGCUGUUAUACUUUGUUGCAUUUGAAAAUAAAAGUUGGGCUCAUUUUAACAUCAUUACAAAAAUGGU
ensembl:lncRNA